rnacentral:misc_RNA from 1 species
AAGUCGUAACAAGGUUUCCGUAGGUGAACCUGCGGAAGGAUCAUUAUCGUAGGGCUUCGGCCCUGUCGAGAUAGAACCCUUGCCUUUUUGAGUACCUUUCGUUUCCUCGGCAGCCUCGGCUGCCAAUGGGGACCCAAAAACACUUUGCAGUACCUGUAACAGUCUGAACAAACAAACAAAAAUUAAAA